GACGAACGCUGGCGGCGUGCUUAACACAUGCAAGUCGAACGGAAAGGCCCUGCUUUUGUGGGGUGCUCGAGUGGCGAACGGGUGAGUAACACGUGAGUAACCUGCCCUUGACUUUGGGAUAACUUCAGGAAACUGGGGCUAAUACCGGAUAGGAGCUCCUGCUGCAUGGUGGGGGUUGGAAAGUUUCGGCGGUUGGGGAUGGACUCGCGGCUUAUCAGCUUGUUGGUGGGGUAGUGGCUUACCAAGGCUUUGACGGGUAGCCGGCCUGAGAGGGUGACCGGCCACAUUGGGACUGAGAUACGGCCCAGACUCCUACGGGAGGCAGCAGUGGGGAAUAUUGCACAAUGGGCGGAAGCCUGAUGCAGCAACGCCGCGUGCGGGAUGACGGCCUUCGGGUUGUAAACCGCUUUCGCCUGUGACGAAGCGUGAGUGACGGUAAUGGGUAAAGAAGCACCGGCUAACUACGUGCCAGCAGCCGCGGUGAUACGUAGGGUGCGAGCGUUGUCCGGAUUUAUUGGGCGUAAAGGGCUCGUAGGUGGUUGAUCGCGUCGGAAGUGUAAUCUUGGGGCUUAACCCUGAGCGUGCUUUCGAUACGGGUUGACUUGAGGAAGGUAGGGGAGAAUGGAAUUCCUGGUGGAGCGGUGGAAUGCGCAGAUAUCAGGAGGAACACCAGUGGCGAAGGCGGUUCUCUGGGCCUUUCCUGACGCUGAGGAGCGAAAGCGUGGGGAGCGAACAGGCUUAGAUACCCUGGUAGUCCACGCUGUAAACGGUGGGUACUAGGUGUGGGGUCCAUUCCACGGGUUCCGUGCCGUAGCUAACGCUUUAAGUACCCCGCCUGGGGAGUACGGCCGCAAGGCUAAAACUCAAAGGAAUUGACGGGGCCCCGCACAAGCGGCGGAGCAUGCGGAUUAAUUCGAUGCAACGCGUAGAACCUUACCUGGGUUUGACAUGGAUCGGGAGCGCUCAGAGAUGGGUGUGCCUCUUUUGGGGUCGGUCCACAGGUGGUGCAUGGCUGUCGUCAGCUCGUGUCGUGAGAUGUUGGGUUAAGUCCCGCAACGAGCGCAACCCUUGUUCACUGUUGCCAGCACGUUAUGGUGGGGACUCAGUGGAGACCGCCGGGGUCAACUCGGAGGAAGGUGGGGAUGACGUCAAGUCACCAUGCCCCUUAUGUCCAGGGCUUCACGCAUGCUACAAUGGCUGGUACAGAGAGUGGCGAGCCUGUGAGGGUGAGCGAAUCUCGGAAAGCCGGUCUCAGUUCGGAUUGGGGUCUGCAACUCGACCUCAUGAAGUCGGAGUCGCUAGUAAUCGCAGAUCAGCAACGCUGCGGUGAAUACGUUCCCGGG
rnacentral:rRNA from 1 species